rnacentral:rRNA from 1 species
GACGAACGCUGGCCGCGUGCCUAAUACAUGCAAGUUGAGCGCUGAAGGUUGGUACUUGUACCAACUGGAUGAGCAGCGAACGGGUGAGUAACGCGUGGGUAAUCUGCCUUUGAGCGGGGGACAACAUUUGGAAACGAAUGCUAAUACCGCAUAAAAACUUUAAACACAAGUUUUAAGUUUGAAAGAUGCAAUUGCAUCACUCAAAGAUGAUCCCGCGUUGUAUUAGCUAGUUGGUGAGGUAAAGGCUCACCAAGGCGAUGAUACAUAGCCGACCUGAGAGGGUGAUCGGCCACAUUGGGACUGAGAAACGGCCCAAACUCCUAAGGGGAGCAGCAGUAGGGGAUCUUCGGCAAUGGACGAAAGGCUGGACGAGCAAAGCCGCGUGAGGGAAGAAAGUUCUCGGAUCGUAAAACUCUGUUGGUAGAGAAGAAAGUUGGUGGGAGUGGAAAGCUCAUCAAGUGACGGUAACUAACCAGAAAGGGACGGCUAACUACGUG